GGAAAUAACAGGCACCUGGGAAAACCCACGAAGUAAGGUUUUGUAAGAAGUUGCUCUGCUCCCUGGGAGAAAACGCGGAGCUCAACACUGCCAAGAGGAACAAGUCUGGGAAAUUACGACAUGAGGGCCCUUGUGAAUUGAUGAAUAUGAAGACACUAAGAAAGCAGAAAUAGAACUGAGAAGAAUGAAAUAACUGUCUCUACCUUUCUCGAAUUGUCUAAUAUGGAAAGAAUGAAAGACAGCUAAUAAGCAACUCUCUGCAAGAAGACAUAUGGCUUAGGUUCUGCUGAGCUAUUGGUGAUUUGAUUCCAUGCAUAUGUAUUCACUACUGGUAUAAGUAUAUACAAUAUAUGUGUUUCUGCAAAGAAUCGUAGACUUGAUGCAUUUUUUAAUAUUUCUUAAGGACUUACUACUGAGUGUCAGUAUGAGAGGAUCGUUUACUUCCUUUUCCCAUUAAUUUUGAUAGCCUGGAUUGAGCAACUUUCUUACCUAGUUUUGUUUUAUGAGGUGCAUUAGCUUUUUCUUUGUGUGUAUGUUUGUGUGUGUGUAGCUUUAUUAACCAUAUUGUUUGGGCUUUUGAUAAAGCAGAGAUUCUGAUAUGGUAUACAUUUUGAACUAAGCAUUCAUUUAUUCAGCAGGGAUGUAUGUUUAAGACACUGUGUUAGCCAAGGGUGAGAAGGCGUGUGGAAUGGUAGAGGAGCAAGGUGAGGUAAGAUGAUUAAAAGACACCAGCUGAGAGUGUUAUUUUAUAUGGCAGAAGGAUGUUUGCAGAUGCAAUUAAGUUAAGGACCUUGAGAUGGGGUAUGUUAUCCUGGUAGGCCCAAUGUAUACAUCAGGGUCCUUAUGAAAGGGAGGCAGGAGAACAGAAUGAGUAGUGAGAAGAGUGAAUGGACAAUACUGAGGACAUGCUUAGGGACCCAAAGAAGCUUGCUAUGGUAGGGCUUGGUGGACUCUGUACUGAUGAGAAAGGCUAGGCCAUGCUAUGGAAGCAAAUAAAUCUGUUGUAAAGUGACAGAGUUUCUCUCUUGCUCAUGCAAAGUCUGCUAAAUGGCUGAGUGAUUCUCAAGGGCAUCCCUCACUCAUGUGAUGGCUCUGCUGUGUGUGCAUCCCUGCUAGCCAGGCAGGUCAGGAGAAUGUUAGAAAUGAAACACUUCCUUCUGGUGGCCAAAAGAAGUCACAUGGCUACAUCUGUUAAUAAUUCGAAGGUUGUAGACAGUAUAAUAUUCCCUUGUCCUAAAAGAGGGAAGCUAGAAAUAUUGGUAAGCAGCACAUAUAUCUUCCCCAUGAUCCCAACUUUGUUGGGUAGAGAAGCAUUUUAAAUAACUUUGGAAUUUACAUAUAUUCCUCAAAUAUCUAGUGGUAACUCCAUGUCUAAAUCCAGGGUACCCACUUUCUUCCCUAAACAUGUUUGAAAGUCCUGCAUUCUCUCAGUAUUGUUACAGAGCCACAUUUCAG
rnacentral:lncRNA from 10 species